UGUCGUGGUCUGUUAAUCAAUCUAUUUUAACUAUUAAUUAAUAUUAUACAUUUAUACUACGCGUGUAUAUUCAAAACAUUAUGGCUCCAAGAAGAAAUAGGCUUAGUGGGGCUGAAUACAAGAAAAUAGCUAAGCUCAAAGAAUUUAAUUUGAAUAAAGUUGUUCAAAAAACUAUUAAAAUCGACACGAUGUUCAAAAAGUCAGGUAUGGUUAAUAAAUCUACUGAACAACGUCAAGCUGGCCUUACAACUCUUUGUAAUAAUUUGGAUACAGAACCUCCAUGCGUGUCAGAGCAUAUAAAUAUUUAAUUAGAACCAAAUUCUACUGAUAUACCUGGAUUGGAUCCAGCAUUGUGGAGUAUAAAUGAACAAACGAGGCAAUAUAUCUGUAAAAAUGGAUUUAGCCAAAAUCUAGAUGUUAAAUUUACAGCUUCAAAAAGAUUGUACAGAGUUGUAAAGAAACGGCAUUUCCGUAACUAUUUUAGAUAUCUGAAUAUAGAUUUUUUCAAAACUGUUUUAAUCAAUGGUGAAACAUGUCAAAGAAAUUAUUUAUCUUAUUCUGAGAGUACUGGGUCAAUUUAUUGUGUUCCAUGUCUCUUAUUUGAGAAUAAAACUAAUUUUUCAAAAAAAGGAUUUUCAGAUUGGAAACACCCUAAAAAAAUUUCUUACCAUGAAAAUUCACCUGAACACAAACUAUGUUCUUAUAAAAUGAAAGAACUUGCAUCAGAUUUAAGUAAAAUAAAUUCAAAACUAAUACAUCAAAUAGAAACCGAAAAAAAAUAUUGGAUUAGUGUACUGACCAGGGUUUGUUCGGUUAUUAAAAGUUUGGCAAGUCAUGGAUUAUCAUUUAGAGGUGAUGUAGAAAAAUUUGGAUCAUCUACUUCAAAUACUGGAAAUUUUAUUAUGAUGAUGGAAUUACUUGCAGAGUACGACCCACUUCUAUCAGAACACAUAUCUAAGUAUGGUAAC